rnacentral:misc_RNA from 1 species
AGCAAUUUUCAAUCGACCCUGCAGGUAUUAUGAAACACCCCUGAAUUUAUUGAAAAAGAUAUCAUGCAAGUGGAGGUUCAGCAAAUCAAUUCAAUUGCAGACGAGCAUAAUAAGAAGAUUGCAGAAUUAGUUUAAUAGUGAAAUUUACAAAUGAAACCCUAUUUAAGGACUAGAUUAUGGGAUGCAUCUCCAACUCCUAUUUCCAGCCAAAUUAUAUUUCCAGCCAACAUUGGGUCCUUUUCCUCUUCAAAUUCAGUAUUCUAGAGAUAAAUACUUGUCUAUCCAACUUCAAUCAUAAUUUCUCUUCCAAAAACUUGGAAAAACAUCUCUUAUCUACAGACAUAAACAUGAUGUCAAAACAUACG